CCCAGCCACUGCAAACAUCUGGGGAACGAACCAGUGGAUGGAGACUGGGGCUGAGCCAGAUGGGAUCCAGCAGGAGAUGGACUUACGUGAUGAAGAACGGGGCUGGAAUAGCAUGCUCCCUUCACUCUGAUUCAGGUAGCUCUGCCCUGGGCUGUUGUAUCUGUAAAGAAAUUCUAAGGAGAGAAGAUCAUAGAACAUGCUGGUGAGUGCUGGGAGCCACACGGCUGCCCACACACAGGCCCACCCAAGGUCUCACCUUUAGGUGGUCGCUUAGGACCCUGAGUGCUGCCGCCAUCCUCACAUCUGGUGCUCUGCGGUCCAGCAUAAGAAUCAGAACAGAAGCUGGGACCUGUAACAGACCCACCCCACCCCAACCCCAACCGAGCCCAAGUUAUACAGAGCAAGUGGGAGCUUCUUGGUUAGUCACAAAACUGGAUGUGGAGAACAGUGUUCUAAU